GGAUAUGGGCCUAAAUACCCCAAAUGCACCAGCUCUUGUUUGAUCUUGGAAGCUAAGAAGAACUAGCCCUGGUUAGUACUUGGGUGGAAGAUCACCAAUAAAUACCAGGUGCUAUAUUUC
rnacentral:rRNA from 1 species